rnacentral:rRNA from 1 species
UACGGAGUGUGCAAGCGUUACUCGGAAUCACUGGGCAUAAAGCGCGCGUAGGCGGGUUUCCAAGUCGGUUGUGAAAUCCCUCAGCUCAACUGAGGAACCGCAUCCGAUACUGUUUGCCUUGAGGACGAGAGGGGAGAGUGGAACUUCUGGCGAAGCGGUGAAAUGCGUAGAUAUCAGAAGGAACGCCGGUGGCGAAAGCGGCUUACUGGCCCGUAUCUGACGCUGAUGUGCGAAAGCUAGGGGAGCAAACGGG